GUGAGGAAUAUUGGACAAUGGGCGCAAGCCUGAUCCAGCCAUGCCGCGUGCAGGAAGACGCAUCUAUGGUGUGUAAACUGCUUUUGUACGGGAAGAAACACUCCCUCGUGAGGGAGCUUGACGGUACCGUAAGAAUAAGGAUCGGCUAACUCCGUACCAGCAGCCGCGGUAAUACGGAGGAUCCAAGCGUUAUCCGGAAUCAUUGGGUUUAAAGGGUCCGUAGGCGGUUUAAUAAGUCAGUGGUGAAAGCCCAUCGCUCAACGAUGGAACGGCCAUUGAUACUGUUAGACUUGAAUUACAAGGAAGUAACUAGAAUAUGUAGUGUAGCGGUGAAAUGCUUAGAUAUUACAUGGAAUACCAAUUGCGAAGGCAGGUUACUACUUGUGGAUUGACGCUGAUGGACGAAAGCGUGGGGAGCGAACAGGAUUAGAAACCCGUGUAGUCC
rnacentral:rRNA from 1 species